rnacentral:lncRNA from 1 species
GCAAUUUUUAAAGCUUCUUUACUCAGCAUUUAGACAUGAAUCUAAUGCUUCAAUGUAAGACAGCCAUUUGACAGUAUGCACUAACCUUAAUCAGUUUUAAUUCAUGAAUGCAACAAUACAAUUCAUCACACAUUCAUUUAUAACUUAGGCUAAGCAUUACUAUCAUCACUUAUCAUCAGACAAUGCAUUACUUUCAAUCUGUUUUCAGUUCAUGAGCUUCAAACAA